rnacentral:rRNA from 1 species
CUCCUUUGACGUUAGCGGCGGACGGGUGAGUAACACGUGGGUAACCUACCUAUAAGACUGGGAUAACUUCGGGAAACCGGAGCUAAUACCGGAUAAUAUUUCGAACCGCAUGGUUCGAUAGUGAAAGGUGGUUUUGCUAUCACUUAUAGAUGGACCCGCGCCGUAUUAGCUAGUUGGUAAGGUAACGGCUUACCAAGGCGACGACUACGUAGCCGACCUGAGUAGGGUGAUCGGCCACACUGGAACUGAGACACGGUCCAGACUCCUACGGGAGGCAGCAGCC